GAUGAACGCUGGCGGCGUGCCUAAUACAUGCAAGUCGAGCGAACGGACGAGAAGCUUGCUUCUCUGAUGUUAGCGGCGGACGGGUGAGUAACACGUGGAUAACCUACCUAUAAGACUGGGAUAACUUCGGGAAACCGGAGCUAAUGCCGGAUAAUAUUUUGAACCGCAUGGUUCAAAAGUGAAAGACGGUCUUGCUGUCACUUAUAGAUGGAUCCGCGCUGCAUUAGCUAGUUGGUAAGGUAACGGCUUACCAAGGCAACGAUGCAUAGCCGACCUGAGAGGGUGAUCGGCCACACUGGAACUGAGACACGGUCCAGACUCCUACGGGAGGCAGCAGUAGGGAAUCUUCCGCAAUGGGCGAAAGCCAGACGGAGCAACGCCGCGUGAGUGAUGAAGGUCUUCGGAUCGUAAAACUCUGUUAUUAGGGAAGAACAUAUGUGUAAGUAACUGUGCACAUCUUGACGGUACCUAAUCAGAAAGCCACGGCUAACUACGUG
rnacentral:rRNA from 1 species